UACGGGAGGCAGCAGUGGGGAAUAUUGCACAAUGGGCGAAAGCCUGAUGCAGCUAUGCCGCGUGUAUGAAGAAGGCCUUAGGGUUGUAAAGUACUUUCAUCGGGGAGGAAAAAACAAAACUAAUAAUUUUAUUUCUUGACGUUACCCGAAAAAGAAGCACCGGCUAACUCCGUGCCAGCAGCCGCGGUAAUACGGAGGGUGCUAGCGUUAAUCAGAAUUACUGGGCGUAAAGAGCACGUAGGUGGUUUUUUUAAGUUCAGAUGUGAAAUCCCUGGGCUUAACCUAGGAACUGCAUUUUGAAACUGAAAUACUAGAGUAUCGUAGAGGGAGGUAGAAUUCUAGGUGUAGCGGUGAAAUGCGUAGAUAUCUGGAGGAAUACCUGUGGCGAAAGCGGCCUCCUAAACGAAUACUGACACUGAGGGUGCGAAAGCGUGGGGAGCAAAACAGGGAUUAGAUACC
rnacentral:rRNA from 1 species